rnacentral:rRNA from 1 species
GAAUUCGUUAUAGCCUCCUACGGGGGGCAGCAGUGGGGAAUAUUGCACAAUGGGGGGAACCCUGAUGCAGCAACGCCGCGUGAGCGAAGAAGGCUUUCGAGUCGUAAAGCUCUGUCCUAAGGGAAGAAACCUGACGGUACCUUAGGAGGAAGCCCCGGCUAACUACGUGCCAGCAGCCGCGGUAAUACGUAGGGGGCAAGCGUUAUCCGGAAUCACUGGGCGUAAAGGGUGCGUAGGCGGCUAAUCAAGCCAGGGGUGAAAGGCUA